UCGGCUCCGCGCAGGCGCACUGGGCCGGCGGCGCGGCGCGGGAAACCUGAAGCAGGGCUGGCGAGGCCGCGGCGCGGGGGCUGAAGCGGUGGGCGGCUUCCGGGGUACCGCGCGCGGAGGGCCCGAGUCCAUGCCGUGGAGGGGCGACCGCCAGACAACUUGUGUUGAUGUGUUGUUGGUUCGUUCGCGUUGAACUCACAGCCAGCAGCACCGUGACUCAUGCCUGAAGCCGGGCUGUCCGCCGGUGAUCUCGGGAAGGUGCGUCCCAGCCUCCUGUGCUUGGGAAACUGGACGGCACUUGAGCACCAGCUUGAGGGCCACUUUAAACAGCAAGAUUGCCACUGAAAAGCACAAGAAUGUGACGACUAUGACACUAAACAGGCUGCAAAAUGGGCACAUAUUUAGUGUACCGGAGGUGAAAUGUGAAAGAAGGCAGGGGUCCUCCCGUGUGACCUUGGUAGAAGUGUGUUCCUCGGGGAACUUGGGCUUUUCACCAUUCUGCAUGUGUUUGUGAGUAACUGCCAAAGUACCACAAGUGUUGAUUUUGGAGUACAAAUAAGUUUAGCAGAUAGGCAAGUUGACAAAUGUGGAAUCCACAAAUAAAAAUCUGGCGGGUCUGUGUGUAUCUGUA